rnacentral:rRNA from 1 species
UGGGGGAUAUUGCGCAAUGGGGGCAACCCUGACGCAGCAACGCCGCGUGAAGGAUGAAGGUUUUCGGAUUGUAAACUUCUUUUAUUGAGGACGAAACUUGACGGUACUUAAUGAAUAAGCUCCGGCUAACUACGUGCCAGCAGCCGCGGUAAUACGUAGGGAGCAAGCGUUGUCCGGAUUUACUGGGUGUAAAGGGUGCGUAGGCGGCUUUGCAAGUCAGAUGUGAAAUCUAUGGGCUCAACCCAUAAACUGCAUUUGAAACUGUAGAGCUUGAGUGAAGUAGAGGCAGGCGGAAUUCCCCGUGUAGCGGUGAAAUGCGUAGAGAUGGGGAGGAACACCAGUGGCGAAGGCGGCCUGCUGGGCUUUAACUGACGCUGAGGCACGAAAGCGUGGGUAGCAAACAGGAUUAGAUACCCUGGUAGUCCACGCUGUAAACGAUGAUUACUAGGUGUGGGGGGUCUGACCCCUUCCGUGCCGGAGUUAACACAAUAAGUAAUCCACCUGGGGAGUACGGCCGCAAGGUUGAAACUCAAAGGAAUUGACGGGGGCCCGCACAAGCAGUGGAGUAUGUGGUUUAAUUCGAAGCAACGCGAAGAACCUUACCAGGUCUUGACAUCCAACUAACGAAGUAGAGAUACAUUAGGUGCCCUUCGGGGAAAGUUGAGACAGGUGGUGCAUGGUUGUCGUCAGCUCGUGUCGUGAGAUGUUGGGUUAAGUCCCGCAACGAGCGCAACCCUUGCUAUUAGUUGCUACGCAAGAGCACUCUAAUAGGACUGCCGUUGACAAAACGGAGGAAGGUGGGGACGACGUCAAAUCAUCAUGCCCCUUAUGACCUGGGCUACACACGUACUACAAUGGAUGUUAACAGAGGGAAGCAAGACAGCGAUGUGGAGCAAACCCCUAAAAACAUUCUCAGUUCAGAUUGCAGGCUGCAACCCGCCUGCAUGAAGAUGGAAUUGCUAGUAAUCGCGGAUCAGCAUGCCGCGGUGAAUACGUUCCC